GGAGCAACGCCGCGUGAGUGAAGAAGGGUUUCGGCUCGUAAAGCUCUGUUGGUAGUGAAGAAAGAUAGAGGUAGUAACUGGCCUUUAUUUGACGGUAAUUACUUAGAAAGUCACGGCUAACUACGUGCCAGCAGCCGCGGUAAUACGUAGGUGGCAAGCGUUGUCCGGAUUUAUUGGGCGUAAAGCGAGUGCAGGCGGUUCAAUAAGUCUGAUGUGAAAGCCUUCGGCUCAACCGGAGAAUUGCAUCAGAAACUGUUGAACUUGAGUGCAGAAGAGGAGAGUGGAACUCCAUGUGUAGCGGUGGAAUGCGUAGAUAUAUGGAAGAACACCAGUGGCGAAGGCGGCUCUCUGGUCUGCAACUGACGCUGAGGCUCGAAAGCAUGGGUAGCGAACAGGAUUAGAUACCCUGGUAGUCCAUGCCGUAAACGAUGAGUGCUAAGUGUUGGGAGGUUUCCGCCUCUCAGUGCUGCAGCUAACGCAUUAAGCACUCCGCCUGGGGAGUACGACCGCAAGGUUGAAACUCAAAGGAAUUGACGGGGGCCCGCACAAGCGGUGGAGCAUGUGGUUUAAUUCGAAGCAACGCGAAGAACC
rnacentral:rRNA from 1 species